rnacentral:RNase_P_RNA from 1 species
UGAGUAAGUCAGACAGCCGCACGGGUCGAAGGGAUUCGGCUCUUGAGGAAAGUCCGGGCUCCAUAGGGCAAGGGUGCCAGAUAACGUCUGGCGAAGGUGACUUUAGGGAAAGUGCAACAGAAACACACCGCCCACCGGCACAGGCCGAGGUAAGGUUGAAAUGGUGAGGUAAGAGCUCACCGGCGGUAUGGUAACAUACCGGCCGUGUAAACCCCACCCGGAGCAAGACCAAGCAGGGAGGUAAUUGUCCGUAUGGGCAUAAUGCCUGAAAGGCGGCGGCCCGUCGCUUCCCGGGAGGUAGGUCGCUUGAGCACAUGGGCGACCAUGUGCCUAGAUAGAUGGCUGUCAAAUACAGAACCCGGCUUAUAGAUUUGCUCAUAAU